rnacentral:rRNA from 1 species
CUUAACACAUGCAAGUCGAGGGGAAACGACAUCGAAAGCUUGCUUUUGAUGGGCGUCGACCGGCGCACGGGUGAGUAACGCGUAUCCAACCUGCCCACCACUUGGGGAUAACCUUGCGAAAGUAAGACUAAUACCCAAUGAUAUCUCUAGAAGGCAUCAGAAAGAGAUUAAAGAUUUAUCGGUGAUGGAUGGGGAUGCGUCUGAUUAGCUUGUUGGCGGGGUAACGGCCCACCAAGGCUACGAUCAGUAGGGGUUCUGAGAGGAAGGUCCCCCACAUUGGAACUGAGACACGGUCCAAACUCCUACGGGAGGCAGCAGUGAGGAAUAUUGGUCAAUGGACGAGAGUCUGAACCAGCCAAGUAGCGUGCAGGAUGACGGCCCUAUGGGUUGUAAACUGCUUUUAUAAGGGAAUAAAGUGAGCCUCGUGAGGCUUUUUGCAUGUACCUUAUGAAUAAGGACCGGCUAAUUCCGUGCCAGCAGCCGCGGUAAUACGGAAGGUCCGGGCGUUAUCCGGAUCUAUUGGGUUUAAAGGGAGCGUAGGCCGGAGAUUAAGCGUGUUGUGAAAUGUAGACGCUCAACGUCUGCACUGCAGCGCGAACUGGUUUCCUUGAGUACGCACAAAGUGGGCGGAAUUCGUGGUGUAGCGGUGAAAUGCUUAGAUAUCACGAAGAACUCCGAUUGCGAAGGCAGCUCACUGGAGCGCAACUGACGCUGAAGCUCGAAAGUGCGGGUAUCGAACAGGAUUAGAUACCCUGGUAGUCCGCACGGUAAACGAUGGAUGCCCGCUGUUGGUCUGAAUAGGUCAGCGGCC